rnacentral:lncRNA from 1 species
AUAUAUAGGGCUCAUUGUAUCAUGUUUAAUAUCAUCAGUUAUAUUUUUCUCCCGUGCUUUCUCACAUGGUAUCACAGCUUUGGUGAGAAUAUCAUAGCUGUGCGUCAUUCCAGCUAAUUCCGGGAAGAAAGACCUCUUCGCCGUGCAAUUUUCCGGCGACUUAAGAGGCUGUCCGAACUAAAUCACCCUCUUUUGUUGGUGUUGUGCAAAAUCCAAGACCACCACGAGGUUCGGCUCGCAAUUCCGACCAAACCCCAGAAAUAUCUCCGGCAGAAUCCCCGUCACGCGCUCCCACGCGCCACCACAGCUGUCGGCGCGUCAGACCACGUGCCGGCGCGUGGGGCUGUUUCCGGCCAGUUUUUGGCUUCGCUCCUUCAGAACAGUUUGGUCGGAAUAUAAUUCCGACCCUACCCAUCCACUUUUUGUUCGAUUCCGACAACUUUGAUUUUUUCCGGCGACCUACAGUGACUUUUCCGGCAGCUACAGUACUUUCCGGCCAGAAUUUCUUCAGGAGAGUUUGCUCACCCUUGAAUUCCGAGCCUAUCCAUAUUUUUACUUUUCAAUUCCGACAACUUUGAAUUUUACCGGCAGCUACAGUGUUUUUCCGGCAGCUACAGUGUUCCUUUUUUCCGUUUGAAUUCCGAGCCUAUCCAUAUUUUUAAUUUUCAAUUUCGACAACUUUGAAUUUUUCCGGCAGCUACAGUGUUCCUAUUUUCCGGUAGCACCAGUUUUCAGUCCUCUGUUUCAGUUUCAGCGAGUUUUCAGUUGAUAAUCCAACG